rnacentral:rRNA from 1 species
GGUUAAGCGACUAAGCGUACACGGUGGAUGCCCUGGCAGUCAGAGGCGAUGAAGGACGUGCUAAUCUGCGAUAAGCGUCGGUAAGGUGAUAUGAACCGUUAUAACCGGCGAUUUCCGAAUGGGGAAACCCAGUGUGUUUCGACACACUAUCAUUAACUGAAUCCAUAGGUUAAUGAGGCGAACCGGGGGAACUGAAACAUCUAAGUACCCCGAGGAAAAGAAAUCAACCGAGAUUCCCCCAGUAGCGGCGAGCGAACGGGGAGCAGCCCAGAGCCUGAAUCAGUGUGUGUGUUAGUGGAAGCGUCUGGAAAGGCGCGCGAUACAGGGUGACAGCCCCGUACACAAAAAUGCACAUGCUGUGAGCUCGAUGAGUAGGGCGGGACACGUGGUAUCCUGUCUGAAUAUGGGGGGACCAUCCUCCAAGGCUAAAUACUCCUGACUGACCGAUAGUGAACCAGUACCGUGAGGGAAAGGCGAAAAGAACCCCGGCGAGGGGAGUGAAAAAGAACCUGAAACCGUGUACGUACAAGCAGUGGGAGCACAGAGCAAUCUGUGUGACUGCGUACCUUUUGUAUAAUGGGUCAGCGACUUAUAUUCUGUAGCAAGGUUAACCGAAUAGGGGAGCCGAAGGGAAACCGAGUCUUAACUGGGCGUUAAGUUGCAGGGUAUAGACCCGAAACCCGGUGAUCUAGCCAUGGGCAGGUUGAAGGUUGGGUAACACUAACUGGAGGACCGAACCGACUAAUGUUGAAAAAUUAGCGGAUGACUUGUGGCUGGGGGUGAAAGGCCAAUCAAACCGGGAGAUAGCUGGUUCUCCCCGAAAGCUAUUUAGGUAGCGCCUCGUGAAUUCAUCUCCGGGGGUAGAGCACUGUUUCGGCAAGGGGGUCAUCCCGACUUACCAACCCGAUGCAAACUGCGAAUACCGGAGAAUGUUAUCACGGGAGACACACGGCGGGUGCUAACGUCCGUCGUGAAGAGGGAAACAACCCAGACCGCCAGCUAAGGUCCCAAAGUCAUGGUUAAGUGGGAAACGAUGUGGGAAGGCCCAGACAGCCAGGAUGUUGGCUUAGAAGCAGCCAUCAUUUAAAGAAAGCGUAAUAGCUCACUGGUCGAGUCGGCCUGCGCGGAAGAUGUAACGGGGCUAAACCAUGCACCGAAGCUGCGGCAGCGACGCUGAUGCGUUGUUGGGUAGGGGAGCGUUCUGUAAGCCUGCGAAGGUGUGCUGUGAGGCAUGCUGGAGGUAUCAGAAGUGCGAAUGCUGACAUAAGUAACGAUAAAGCGGGUGAAAAGCCCGCUCGCCGGAAGACCAAGGGUUCCUGUCCAACGUUAAUCGGGGCAGGGUGAGUCGACCCCUAAGGCGAGGCCGAAAGGCGUAGUCGAUGGGAAACAGGUUAAUAUUCCUGUACUUGGUGUUACUGCGAAGGGGGGACGGAGAAGGCUAUGUUGGCCGGGCGACGGUUGUCCCGGUUUAAGCGUGUAGGCUGGUUUUCCAGGCAAAUCCGGAAAAUCAAGGCUGAGGCGUGAUGACGAGGCACUACGGUGCUGAAGCAACAAAUGCCCUGCUUCCAGGAAAAGCCUCUAAGCAUCAGGUAACAUCAAAUCGUACCCCAAACCGACACAGGUGGUCAGGUAGAGAAUACCAAGGCGCUUGAGAGAACUCGGGUGAAGGAACUAGGCAAAAUGGUGCCGUAACUUCGGGAGAAGGCACGCUGAUAUGUAGGUGAAGUCCCUCGCGGAUGGAGCUGAAAUCAGUCGAAGAUACCAGCUGGCUGCAACUGUUUAUUAAAAACACAGCACUGUGCAAACACGAAAGUGGACGUAUACGGUGUGACGCCUGCCCGGUGCCGGAAGGUUAAUUGAUGGGGUCAGCGCAAGCGAAGCUCUUGAUCGAAGCCCCGGUAAACGGCGGCCGUAACUAUAACGGUCCUAAGGUAGCGAAAUUCCUUGUCGGGUAAGUUCCGACCUGCACGAAUGGCGUAAUGAUGGCCAGGCUGUCUCCACCCGAGACUCAGUGAAAUUGAACUCGCUGUGAAGAUGCAGUGUACCCGCGGCAAGACGGAAAGACCCCGUGAACCUUUACUAUAGCUUGACACUGAACAUUGAGCCUUGAUGUGUAGGAUAGGUGGGAGGCUUUGAAGUGUGGACGCCAGUCUGCAUGGAGCCGACCUUGAAAUACCACCCUUUAAUGUUUGAUGUUCUAACGUUGACCCGUAAUCCGGGUUGCGGACAGUGUCUGGUGGGUAGUUUGACUGGGGCGGUCUCCUCCUAAAGAGUAACGGAGGAGCACGAAGGUUGGCUAAUCCUGGUCGGACAUCAGGAGGUUAGUGCAAUGGCAUAAGCCAGCUUGACUGCGAGCGUGACGGCGCGAGCAGGUGCGAAAGCAGGUCAUAGUGAUCCGGUGGUUCUGAAUGGAAGGGCCAUCGCUCAACGGAUAAAAGGUACUCCGGGGAUAACAGGCUGAUACCGCCCAAGAGUUCAUAUCGACGGCGGUGUUUGGCACCUCGAUGUCGGCUCAUCACAUCCUGGGGCUGAAGUAGGUCCCAAGGGUAUGGCUGUUCGCCAUUUAAAGUGGUACGCGAGCUGGGUUUAGAACGUCGUGAGACAGUUCGGUCCCUAUCUGCCGUGGGCGCUGGAGAACUGAGGGGGGCUGCUCCUAGUACGAGAGGACCGGAGUGGACGCAUCACUGGUGUUCGGGUUGUCAUGCCAAUGGCACUGCCCGGUAGCUAAAUGCGGAAGAGAUAAGUGCUGAAAGCAUCUAAGCACGAAACUUGCCCCGAGAUGAGUUCUCCCUGACUCCUUGAGAGUCCUGAAGGAACGUUGAAGACGACGACGUUGAUAGGCCGGGUGUGUAAGCGCAGCGAUGCGUUGAGCUAACCGGUACUAAUGAACCGUGAGGCUUAACCUU